rnacentral:rRNA from 1 species
AGGGAAUAGAUACCCCGGUAGUCCUAGCCCUAAACGAUGAAUGCUUGGUGUGGCGGGUAUCGAUCCCUGCCGUGCCGAAAGCUAAACGCAUUAAGCAUUCCGCCUGGGGAGUACGGUCGCAAGGCUGAAACUCGAAGGAAUUGACGGGGGCCCGCACAAGCGGUGGAGCAUGUGGUUCAAUUCGACGCAACGCGAAGAACCUUACCUGGGCUCGAAAUGCAGAUGACAACCGAUGAAAGUCGGCUCCCGCAAGGGCGUCUGUAUAGGUGCUGCAUGGCUGUCGUCAGCUCGUGUCGUGAGAUGUUGGGUUAAGUCCCGCAACGAGCGCAACCCUCGUCCUCUGUUGCCAUCAGGUCAAGCUGGGCACUCUGAGGAGACUGCCGGUGAUAAACCGGAGGAAGGUGGGGAUGACGUCAAGUCAGCAUGGCCUUUAUGUCCAGGGCCACACACGUGCUACAAUGGCGGAUACAAAGCGCUGCAAACCCGCGAGGGUGAGCCAAUCGCAUAAAGUCCGUC